GGUGUGGUGGCAUCCCAGCAGUCGAUAGCGGGUAUCUGCCGGGAUGAAACAAUAGAAACAUAAAUGUCUAGGCCGGGAUCCCCGCAAGCCGGGCCCGUGCCGCCUGCUUGACAGAUCCAACAGUACAUACCCAGCCCCGUCCCCGCGCCACCUCCCUCCCACGCGAAGCCUAUAAGGUAACCACGCCGGCCAGUAGGCCGCGUGCCGCCAGGGCGUGUUCGCACGCGAUGAAACUACCAGUGCCACCCAAUCACGCUGGAGGGAGAACCAAACCUCGCCGGUGCCGGUCGAUCGGUGAGCGAGGAGGAGGGGCGGCACGCGUCGGCAGAUCUGGGAGCCCUACCGGGCGGGUGGCGGCGCGGGGGGUAGGGUUUCGCGUGACGGCGCGGGGGGAGGGGGGGUGGUUUAUCGCCUACUAGGCCGUUUUCGUCCGAAGAUUUUCCUACCUGGUGUGAAUUCCUUUGAGGCUGCUUGUGGAUGGAAACAAGCUAAUCACCCCGCACGUGUGUGUGCGCGCGCGUGGACCGAAAACUAACUCGCACGGGUGUUGCGGUCCACACCGAUGCGGGCGUGCCAUGAUGGCCGAUUUCCAGCAUCUCUCCUGCUCCCUGCCACAGCUAUAAGCUGCUACGCCGCAUGCUACGCGCCCCCUAUGGGUGAUUGGACUAGCCGGGCCCCUGUACGUCCUUGGGUGCAGAUGCGCCUCCACAAGCGUAGAUGUGUGGGAUCAUUUGUUCCACCCUGCUCCCGUUUGGACGUACCGCUUCGUAACGAUUGUUUGCGCCUGCUCAAACCAACGGCGGCUUGCUACUGGUGCGUGGCUGUGGCAUUUGGGCAACCAACACUCGUGCCCUCGUGUAUUGCUUUGUGAAUGCAUUUUAACCUUUUAAAGAAACGUAGGGGAGAGAAUGGAUUAAUGAUGCAUUGGUGUGGUUGGGAAGAGGCAGUAAUGCCAGGUUGCUUGCAUGCAUAUCGAACCGUGCCGGAGACACUCCAUCUCUCUUUGUCUUCUUCCAUCGCCACCUUGCUAGCUCGUCUCCUGCAAAGGCAGAGGAGCGAUUAAAACUCUGCCCUGUGCGCUGCAAGCCCGUCCACAAUAUCUUUUCUUCGUGUCCGCAAUGCCCGGAUCCCACCUAGCCCAGCCUGCUCCUGGUGCUUAGUUCAUCCAUAGGCCGAGCUGCAUUCCGUCAAGAUCCAAGUGGCUAGCCAUCAGCGCAAGGUAUCAUCUUCAUCUCGCCUUUCAUCUCGUCUCUGUUCUGUGUUUGUGCUGGAUUGGUUGCUGGCUUUUUCCCUCCAUUCUGACCAACUUUUUCCCGCUUGUUUCGGCUUGCAGGUCUUCCUAGUUGCCAUGUCGCGCCUUGGGACGCGCUCGAACGGCGCGGCGACCGGCAGUAGCUCCACGGUUGUGCCAAGCGCGAACACUGCAUCGCUCGUGCCGCCGGCGGACGGGGAUGACGAUGCAAGCAACGAAUCCGACGCGAACUGCGGCAGAAUCCGGGUUAGGAGCUACUUAUCGCCUAGGAUAGUCAAUGAAGUGGUUGCUGGCCUCACGGAAGCACAAAAAAAGUUGUUCGUUGAAAAGGACUUUGGCGCCAUGCUUUCACUCCCAGAGAUUGUGAACGUGGACCGCCAGUAUAGUUUCUGGAAUGCGACUAGGAUAGAUCCGGUGAGGAAAAUAGUCCGAAUGGGCGAUGGCAGUUCUCGUCCGGUGACGGCUAGCGCUGUUAGGGACGUAGUCGGGCUGGGUAUGGGUGACAGGGAGAUCCCAUUCCCGCAUGAACCGAGCUGCGUCGAUCGGGAUAUCUUCAAAGAUGUGUGCGUCGGGUUGGGGCUUGAUGAAACGGUGGAUAGGAUUAGCUUGCAGAUGCUACAGUCUAUUCUUGCUUCCCCCGGUGAUCUGAGUAUCGACUUUGAGUCCAACAGGCAGUGUGCUGCAUUUGCUCUUCUUUGCACUACUUGCUUGUUCAACCCCAGAGUGAAUCGGAGGGAGGACCCGAUCAGCCCGGAAGUUUUCAUUGUUGUGCGUGAUCCAUCCAAGAUGUCUGAAUUUGAUUGGUGUGGAUAUAUUAAAAAUGUUAUCAUGGCUGGGGUUAGUAAAAUGCACGCAGAUCUGAAGGCCGGUGCAGUGGCAAUGCAGCUACAAGGGUUCGUGAUGAUUCCCCAGGUACGCCCAUCCCACAUAUUGGCUGCCCUGUGCAUUUUGCCUAUUUUUUGUUUUGCCAUGAAAUGCUAUGAGUGUGAUGUAUUGUUUUUUGUCCUAAACUGUCCUAGAUAAUCACAUUUGACGCGAUGGUGGCUGGGCGUGGGUUGCAACCAGGGCAUCCCCGCAUAGCGUUGUACACCGCCUCAGACUUCCAACUACUAGCUGGUGUGGACGCUGAUCGUCGGGUUAUAGGGGGGCACAGGUUAUACGGCAAGGCGAGGGUAAGUAGAAAAAUUACGAACCUGAAUAUAUGCUUGCUACUGUUAUACAUGCUCUUGGUCUGAUGUUUCAUUCCCUUGCCAGUUGAGGCCUGUCAGUGAGGAUGUCGUUGCUGAGGACUUGGCGAGCCAGGGUUUUGCUCCUUCUCUGAACAAUGGCGCUGCUGCUGUUGCUGCCCCAACUGAAAAUGUCAUUCCGUUGUUGGAUGUGGCCAGGUGGCAGACUGAGGUAUAAAUCUAUGGCACAAUCGUAUAUAUUUAGCUGUGGACGUGCCUUCGCGCUACCUAUUAUGAAGAACCAAAAUAAAAAGGGGGUGUGCUUCUCUUGCAGGUGGUAGAUUAUUUGAGUGAUGUGAUGAAUGCACACAUCUCCUCUGUUAGUGAGGAGAACAUGAACUUGAGAAACCAUGUUGAGUCUUGCAUGACCAGUUUGCUUGCAAUGAUUGACGGGCGCAACGCCAGCAAUGUCAAUUCGUGUAGUGAGAUGUUGGGGGGUGCGGUUUCAAGAGUAGGCGACUGCAGGCUGCGGGUGGUGGGUGGUGAGGUUCGCUUCGUUGAUAGUCAUGGUGAGAUUUGCUCCAUUGUUGUUCGUGUUGAUAUAUUUCCUUCAAAAUGUUCAGUGGCAAUAACUCUUUACUUUCAGAACAUAACACGAGUGCUCUGGCUGAUGCCACCGGGAAAAGCAAUAUACAGGAGGCAACAGGUGUGUGUGUGGUGUCUUCUGCUUCAUAUCGUUCCGUGGGGGUUUGUUCUGAUGGCUUCUGGCAAAACAGACCUAAAAAUGUUCCUUCUUAUAGGUCCAUCCACUUAUAGGCUCGUGAACCCGACUAUUAGGAAGCGCCUUGGAACGGAUCUGAUGACAAACUUGGGUGCUGCCACCGGUGAGCCUCUUAGUUAACUGAUAUGUACUCGGUAGAUCAUGUUAUUAGAUAAUGCUUGCCUCUGGGGUGAUCAAAACAUGCAUUUCCGGUGUGUGUGUGUGUGUGUGUGUGUGUAGGUGUUGUGCAUAUCGGUGGUGGCAUGCUUGGCAAUGCUGGGGGGGCGAUGUGAUCCCUGAUGCACGGACUCUAUUCGGACCAUUCCCAAGCCCAAAUAGCCUUGACUUGAACCGUAGGGCGUCGUUGAGGGAAUUUGGUUCGACCAAUUCCGGAAUUGGUAAGCUCCCAACUGGACAAAACUUUUCCGAGUUCGUGCGCACGAGCUGCAUACAAUUCCAGGUCAUUACUAACUACUUGCGCGGGCGGGGGUGUCACUGUUUAUUGUGUAGGUGUGGCUAGGCGUCUUGACUUGAAUUUGACGAAUGAUGUUAGUGAGUUCAUAAAUGGGACGCCCAUUGUUCGUCCGAUGAACCCUAUGCCUGUCGACACGAAUUUAACAAUGGGUCCUUCCCCUGUUAGGGGCCCUAGUGUGGAUUUGCGUCCUCGUGGUAUGUGCUCUCCCUCGCCCACUAUGUCUAUUCCUCUAGUUUGUCAACUUGGGUUAUCUGUUUUCGGCCCCACAUGAAUGUCAUGGUGUUUUGUGUUCCUCUGUUAUUAAUCUGUUUAUAUUUGUAUUCAGCCCUCUCACAGAGCAGUUUGCUUGGGUGGUUUCCUGUGGCUCCACCAAGUAAACGCUCAAGGAUGACGACUGACUACUCGAUUGCAAACCCGAUGGGGGUAGCUGUUUCUGAGCUGGAGGGGAAGAGAAGAGAUGAUCGUUUCUAUGCGAAGGCCAUGGAUUCAUCGGUUAAUGAUUUGUCUAGGGUCUGGUUCAAGCAUCGGCGCCCAUAUCACAUUGAGAUGACUGGUGAGCAGGUGGUGGAAGAGUUUCGCAUCGAAAAUGAUCUUGCAAGUAAAGGUCUUGACUCAAUUCUUCGUUUGGGGAUCUGCCCGCCCGCAUCAGGGAGGCUGAUCAUUGGUCCUGAUUGGGAGGUAAGUUUGUGUCUACUUCUGUUAACCUGAUUUCAUUGCUUCGUCUAGUGGCGUCUGUCUUGAUUGACUGUAAAUGAAUUGUGUUCGCAGUUUAAAGUUGCAUACACUGCUGGGUACUGGAGGAGGGCAGAUGUCCGUGCGAUGUUUAAUGAACUACCGCCGGGGCUUAAGUGCGAAGUGGUUAGUGCUCCGGUUUUCAACUUCCACUAAAUGGGUGUGCUGAAACAAAAUAUACCAUUCACAUCUAUCUUGUUGUCUGUGUGUGGCUAACUGAAUCACGUUGCAGGCCCUGGUGGUGGUGUACCUUGGUCAAGGAUGGAGUCUAUAUGCCUUUGACGUUCUCCGCAGGGUUCUUCAUGUGAUUGAUCCGAACAUUUGCAAGCCUGGUGAGAGCAAGAUCAAAGCAAAACACUUGCGGAAUGCGGGGGAGCUGCUAGAUGGGUUCAUCAAGUGUGGUGACAUGUUCUGGGGCGAGGGGAAAGUGCCGAACAAUGGAUGGUCUUACUGUUUCCACGCUACAUGUACCUAUGAGAGGUCAGUUUUGCUUGCCUCUCGUCUUUUGGGUCCUAUAUUCCUUCUAAUAUGCUAAGCACUAUCUUUUUAUUGCCGGGGGGGCAGUACGGACACGGCGAUGCAGGUGGUGCACCACAUCAUCAACUUUGUCCCUGGACAGCAUCCAAUGAACUUGACUGCGGUUCGUGCCUGCAAAUUAUCCUAGGCUUCGCCAUAAAAUGUUUGGGUUUCGAGUUUCGUUGACUUGAUUGUUGUGUCGCAGGGUGCAUCGGUUGCUCUCAAGAAGAAGCUCCUUCAGUCUAUCCUCACGAUGGCGGGUAAUGAUGGCAGCCUCCCACGCCAUGUCGAAGCAUGAUUGACAUUCCGGAAGGGCUGGUUUACCACAUAGUUUAAA